UAUUCAUUAUAUUAUAUAAUUUUAUAUUAUAAAUAUGUAAUAGUCAUGACUAAUAUAUAAUAUAAAUUUAUAAUUAGUAUAUGUAUAAAUGAUAUAAUUAUAUUUACAAUUAUAUUGAUAAAUUUUAUAAAUAUAAAUAUAUAAUCUAUAAAUUUUAUUAAUAUAGGGGAUGUCUAGCAGCAAUUUACAAAUAAUAAGGCGUACUCUUUAAUUGUAGGUCCAUAGAGUCAAAUGAUUCCCAUAGGAUGCUUUCAUUCACUGAUUUUGCCAAACUCUUGCAAUCUCUGGUUGCCGCUGAUAAUAAAGUGUUGUUCUGACAUGAAUGCUGGUUAAAGUUUGUGUUUACGUCAAGGGAUAAGAUAAAACUCAAACAACAAAGGCCUAGGCCCUAACUUCAGUCACUUACCAAUGAUGUGAGAUAUUUUUUUGUAAUUUUUGCUAUUCAGAGGGCAAUGGCUACAGACAUGACACACUUUUCAGAUUAAUCUGCAUUUUUUUAACAUUUUUCUUCUUGAAAUGUUAAAGCCUAGACUUUCUUAAGUCUGGACAAUCACUAAAACACAACAAAUCAAGCCCCAAUUUGUAGCAUGGGCCAUUUCCAUGGUGUUAAUGCCCCACUGCCCUACCUAGAGGAAGAGGAGGGGGAGGGGAGGCAGCGGCCAAGACCGGGCUGCCCAGGGGUGCUUGGCCUGGGGGCGGGGGGUGGGGCUGGUUGCGGAACCACGCUGCACACACCAGCGGCACCUCUAGGAGAAAGACAAAGAGUGCCCUUCCCCGCGUAGUAGCUGUAAAUCAGCACCUCCUUUAAGGCCAGGGCUGCUCCUGAUUGAUCACCAUAGCCCCCACCCUGAGCCCAGCACACCUAGCCCAGAACAGCCUCUAAGUGGACAUGGGCUGAGUCACUGGACUCCUGCGGGAACUUGCCUUCUCUGGAAACCUGAACAAGUCAAACGAGACCAGUGGUCUGCUCAUCUGGAAGAUCUACCCUGAAGUGGGAUGGGUGGGGGGGACACCGUUCUAACACCUCACCUACCAGUCACGUGCCCUUCAGCAAGUGGCUCAGCCUCCUUGAGCCUCUAUUUCCCCACCUGUAAAAUGGGACGAGUGUGGUACGGGGAGAUAGCAAGGAGUCCUGGCAGAGAGCGGGCAGGGAGGAGGCGUUCACUUCAUCUCAGCCUUAAGACGCAGGACACAGAGCCUGCCCCCAGCCUUGCUGCAAGAAUCAAAGGAGGCAACAACAGGUCGGGCUGCUUUGAAAACUGUCCGAGAGAGAGGGAAGAAGCAAGCAAACAUUUAUUGGGGGCCUACUGUGUGCUUUGUCCACAUUUUAUCUCCUUUCAUUCUUUCAUGAACCCCUUCAGGUAGAUGCCAACACCCUAAAUUUACAGAAGAGGAAACUGAGACUUGGAGAGAUGAAGAGAUCGGCUCAAGGUCACGCUCCAAGUUCAACCCAUGUGGUCCUCGUAUGGAAGGAGGACCUUCUUCCUCUCCUUAGUGGUCCUCUUCUUCCACUAUACCGCACUACCUUCUGCAAGGGACUACGAUCUUACUUUAAGCUUGUUUUAUUUUUUUCUUUUUGGUUGUCACUUUUGAUUUGUAUAGCCAUAUUAUUAUCUAAAUACAAAGUGAAUUUAAAAAUCUAUUAUAUGGUGUCACAUGCCACAACAUGGAUGAACCUGGAGGACAUCACACUAAGCAAAAUAAGCCAGUAUCUAUUAUUUUUCAAGUUCUUUUCCCAUUUAGGUUAUUAGAAUAUUUAGAAUAUUGAGCAGAGUUCCCUGCGCUAUACAGUAGGUUCUUGCUGGUUAUCUAUAUUAAAUAUAGCAGUGUGUGUAUGUCAAUCCCAAACUCCCAAUUUAUCCCUCCCACACCUUUCCCCUUUGGUAACCAUAAGUUUGUUUCCUAAGUCUGUGAGUCUGUUUCUGUUUUGUAAAUAAAUUCAUUUGUAUCAUUUUUUUUUAGAUUCCACAUACAAGCAGAAUAUCAUAUGAUAUUUGUCUUUCUCUGUCUGACUUACUCUACCUAGUAUGAUAAUCUCCAGGUCUAUCCGUGUUGCUACAAAUUGCUUCCAUGUCUUGGCUAUUGUAAAUAGUGUGCAAUGAACAUUGGGGUACGUGUAUCCUUUCAAACCAUGGUUUUCUCUGGAUAUAUGUCCAGGAGUGGGAUUGCUGGAUUAUAUGGUAGCUCUAUUUUUAGUUUUUUAAAGAACCUCCAUACUGUUCUCCAUAGUGGUUGCACCAAUUUACUUUCCCACCGAAAGUGUAGGAGGGUUCCCUUUUCUCCACACCCUCUCCAACAUUUAUUGUUUGUAGACUUUUUGAUGAUGGCCAUCAGAAACACUACAAACAAUAAAUGUCGGCUAUCAUCAGCCAGGUGAGGGAAGGGAGUCCCAGGUUAUAUGAUCAGCUCAUGCACAAUUCUCUGAUUGGUUGAUGGUGAGGUAACAGAGUGGUAUUACUCUGUUAAAAUUAUUCAGUCCUUAAGCUCCAGUAGGUCUGGGGGCUACAUGCUCAUGGUCAUCAAGUAGUUAAUUUAUUCCAUUUAGUGGGGGUUUUAGCUUCUGUAAAACAACUCAGGAAAUGUGCAUCAGAUACUAUCAUCUAGGUACUUCAGACAGGAGCUAAAGCAGAGGAUAUGGGGGAAGGGUCUGUCCCAGGAAGGCCCCAUAGGGUCCUGCUUGGUUAUGGCACUAUCCCCUUUACUAUACACUACCAACGGUUGUCACUUGGUUUUCCAUUUUCAGCCACUAUAAAUAAUGCAGCAAUAAAUAUCUU